UGGGGAAUAUUGCACAAUGGGCGCAAGCCUGAUGCAGCCAUGCCGCGUGUAUGAAGAAGGCCUUCGGGUCGUAAAGUACUUUCAGCGGGGAGGAAGGGAGUAAAGUUAAUACCUUUGCUCAUCGACGUUACCCGCAGAAGAAGCACCGGCUAACUUCGUGCCAGCAGCCGCGGUAAUACGGAGGGUGCAAGCGUUAAUCGGAAUUACUGGGCGUAAAGCGCACGCAGGCGGUUUGUUAAGUCAGAUAGUAUAUCCCCGGGCUCAACCUGGGAACUGCAUCUGAUACUAGCAAGCUUGAGUCUCGUCGAGGGAGUAGAAUUCCAGGUGUAGCGGUGAAAUGCGUAGAGAUCUGGAGGAAUACCGGUGGAGAAGGCGGCCCCCUGGAAGAAGACUGACGCUCAGGUGCGAAAGCGUGGGGAGCAAACGGG
rnacentral:rRNA from 1 species